rnacentral:rRNA from 1 species
UACGUAGGGUGCAAGCGUUAAUCGGAAUUACUGGGCGUAAAGCGUGCGCAGGCGGUUUUGUAAGUCUGACGUGAAAUCCCCGGGCUCAACCUGGGAAUUGCGUUGGAGACUGCAAGGCUGGAGUCUGGCAGAGGGGGGUAGAAUUCCACGUGUGAGCAGUGAAAUGCGUAGAGAUGUGGAGGAACACCGAUGGCGAAGGCAGCCCCCUGGGUCAAGACUGACGCUCAUGCACGAAAGCGUGGGA